rnacentral:tRNA from 1 species
GUCAGCAUGGUAUAGUGGUUUGAAUGUUGGACUAGGACUCUGGAGACCAGGGUUCAGUUCCCAGUUCUUGGG